GGUUCAUACAAUACCCUGAGCUCAGGAAUACUCCUGCUUCUGAGGCCAGCGGUGAUUCAGCAAUUGCCAGCAGAUGAUCAAAUGUGCCUUUAAACCAACGCUGCUGACGUUCCAGAGGAACACCUGGUGCAUGCACAGGUAACAGUCCUUCCUACCUGGAAUCUCCUUGGGCAGAAGGAUCCCAGCAGCUAUAUCACUGGUGGUGUCUGGAGAGAAUUUCUCAGCCAGUAUGGUGACGGUGCAGAAGGGCAAAGCCUCAGCUAUACACACUGCUGUAGACAUCCCAACCACACCUGCUCCAAUUACAACAACUUUCACCUUCUUCAUUCUGGAGUAUUACUGCAACAAUGGAUAAAAUGCCAAAGGAACCAAGUUAUAUAUGAGCCCUGGCAAGCCAACCCAUUCUCUAGUGGCCUCAUUCAGACUCAUAAACUAGAACAUGUUAAACUUUGAUACAUUAAAAAGUGUCUAUACAAGACAAGUUAAUUUAUAAUCGAGGAUAGUUACAUUUAUAUCAAAGAGCAAAGAUCACUCUUUCUUGUCCAUGUGAGCAGUACUGAAAAACAAUUAUUACCAUUUUAGGUCAAGUUGCACAUUGUACAGUUAAGUUUCAACAGUUAAAAUAUAUGACAGAAAAAUGUAA